rnacentral:rRNA from 1 species
CGUGUAGGCGGCCUUUUAAGUUUGGUGUGAAAGCCCGGGGCUCACCCCCGGAAGUGCACCGGAUACUGGGAGGCUCGAGUACCGGAGAGGAGGGUAGAAUUCCUGGUGUAGCGGUGAAAUGCGUAGAUAUCAGGAGGAACACCGGCGGCGAAGGCGGCCCUCUGGACGGAUACUGACGCUGAGACGCGAAAGCGUGGGGAGCAAACAGGAUUAGAUACCCUGGUAGUCC